rnacentral:rRNA from 1 species
UACGUAGGGGGCGAGCGUUUGUCCGGAUUUAUUGGGCGUAAAGAGCUCGUAGGCGGUUUGGCAAGUCGGGUGUGAAAACUCCGGCUCAACUCGGAGACGCCACUCGAUACUGCUAUGACUCGAGUCCGGUAGGGGAGUGCGGAAUUCCUGGUGUAGCGGUGAAAUGCGCAGAUAUCAGGAGGAACACCGGUGGCGAAGGCGGUUCUCUGGGAAUAUCCUGACGCUGAGGAGCGAAAGUGUGGGGAGCGAACAGG